AUAGCCGAGUCACGGCCUGGAGUCCGUGAGGGCAGGGUGGGGAAGCUAUCACCCGCCUUGGGGAGGGUAGCUUGCGCUCCGUCAGGGACACUCUCCAAUGUCAGAUGCCUUUCUCCUUUCAGAUUCCUCUUGUUGCAGUAAAAAUAUGAACGUUGUCAGUAUCCUGAUUAGGAGCAGAAGAUGGCAGUAGGAAUGCAGCUAAAAUGGUCUAUGUAAAUAUACCCUCUGACUGCAGCUGCUGUGGAAAAAGAGGAAAUUAUAAGGAAGCUUUGCUCAUGCACUAUAAAACUGGGAGACAGUGAGACACAGCAAGGAAUGGCAAGAUGAGGAAUGGUCUGGCCUCCUGUUCCAACCACUUGUGCAUCCUCCACUCUAAUGCAAGUUACAGUAAUUACAUUAAGACUAAACUGCCAUCUGAAUAAUUUUUCCAAUCGGAUUUCCCAGGGAAACACUCUUACCACAUAUAAAAGCAGGUGAAAGCAGCAGCACUUAUAGAAGAAGAAAAAGGAAAGUCAUUGAAGGAAAUCAGUAAGUGAAAUGGAAGUUAGUAAUACUGACUGGAAUUGACUCUUAUUACCAGACAGAAAGAAACAGUAUUUGUGGUUUGGUGAGUUAACUAUUUUUUAAUGUUCCUUUUCUACACAAGCUACUGAUAUAGUUGCUAAAGAAGAAACAGUGAAAGGACCUGUGAGCACAGAUAGAGCUUACAUUGUGUAUACAUUUUUAAAAUAUUGAACUAAUUAAUUUUUAGCAAGUGUCAUCAGUUUCUCAGAGAUUAAUAAAUUUUUUUAUAUGCUCAUUGAGGCAUGUGGAAUACACAAAUGUUAGCCUAAUAACAAACUCCAGCUAUUUUGAGAAGCACACAGAAGCAACACUUUCUGUUGUGUUAGGGAAAUUUUCUUGUUCUCAUACAUAAGGCCACAGUAUCUCCAGUCUGUUUGUCCCCAGUGCUUCUUGUCUUCUGGUGGCUUUGCUAGGCAGACAUGUGUUACCUGCAUGAAAAAUAACUUAAUCUUUCUUCUGAAGUCCUCAGUCUUUACAACUUGAAUGUAGUUGAACUUCAGCUAUUUGAUAUGAGAAGGUUGUUUAUGUGGCAGUUUGUUACAGACUCUUCCAGGCAGCUGUUUUUCUUAUCAUUGUUUCCAUUAACGCAGUGCUGUGGGGAAAAAAAAAAAAAAGGAAAGGAAAGGAGUGCCCUGUAUUUUCCUACACAACCCUCACCUUCUCCUUGGACUUCCUUACAGGAAGCACAUAGGCAUGUAUGUACUUAUUUGCAUAGUUAAUAGACAAGAUAAAACUGUUUCAGAUAAAAGCCUACAUUGAUGAGUCACACUGGAAAUCAGUGGAGGGCAAACACGGUCAUUCCCUGAUCUCUCAGGUGUAGCUGCUAAAACUCUCAGGGUUUGGGAGGCAGAGGCUGAAGCCAGCCGUACUGGGUUUGCAGGGCCUGAUUUUUGGUAGCAGGACGGGUUACAGGGGUGGCUUCUGUGAGAAGCUGCCAGAGGCUUCCUCCAGGUGUAGCAAAACCGAUCCCUGGUCACUCCGAAGAUGGAGAUGGUUCUGGCCAAGGCUGCCAAUUCAGAAUGGCAGUAAUGCCUCUAUGAUAGCAGAUUUAAGAAUAAAGAUAAAAAAAGUUGUUGCACAGCUGUAAUCAAAGCCAGAGAAAAGCAGGGUAAGAAUGUGUGAGAGAAACAGCAGAGAUCAAGGGGCAGUGAAGAAGGAGAGGCAGGAAGUGUUCCAGGAGCUGGAGCUGAGAAAGCAGGAAAGUGUUCUGCUGAGCCUGGUGAGAGACAGGAACAUUGCUUCUCCUCACACAGCACAGGACAUGUUGACAGGUAGCAAAAGGAUUCUACAUGUGCACGGUGUUAUGCAGAUAUCUUCAGCUCUGUCUUGUGAACCACAGAUCACAUUCUAAAAAGUGUAUUGCUGCAGUAGGGCUGGUGCUCUUUUUUAGAAUCUCUGCACUUUUAAUUAAAAAAGUAUUAUGGGGUUAUGCUUUUAUAUACCACCAGAGAACUCCUGAAUGUAGUUUUGAAAUGGUUCUCAAAUACUUAGUUGUGUCUUAAUUCUUAAUUGCAACAGUUCACAAAUUGUUAUAAUGCUGUUUAUCAUUCAAGCUAUCUCAGUCUCUUUUACUGCUUCUCUGUAUUAAUAUGAAGUGAGUCAUCUUUGUCAG